UCGGGAGCGCGCAAGUGGGUGUGCGGAGCUCUUGUGACAGCUCCAGGCUGCCUGGUGACAGUUCUGUGUAGAAAUCAGCAGCAACAGCUGCCUGGGGAGGAAGACUUCACAGGAAAAAAGUGACACUCAUGUGCAGUACGAGAAUGUAGAGUAUAGACGGCAAUGUCCAACUAAAAUGCUGAGAUAGGAGCAGACUGUGCUGAUAUGUAUGGCUCCUGUGCAGAUGUCUCGGACUACAAUUGCUAUGGAUCAUUGAUGUAGGCUUCCAUUGCUGCCCUUCUUCAGAAAUUCUAGUUGGCAGUCUGCUAUACUGAUGCUUUUGCUUCAGUUGUCCCUGGAUGGAAUCUAAAGGAUUCCUCCUAACUGCAAGACUGGUUCCCCAAAGCCACUUUCCUUCACUGCUCCUACAGUUGCAGGCUUUCCACAUCAUGUACAAUGCAGGAUCAAAUUUGAGCUGAUGACAAAAAUUGUCGCUCUCACACGAGAAGAAAGGAACUUGGUCAUGUUCUACUCCAUACCCAGAAGUAUUUGGAUAUACUCUUUUUUUCCGAGCUGAAUUGAGCAGUGGGUGAGCAAAGAACAGACCCUUCUAGGGCAUCUUCCCAGGAUCUCUCUUUCUUCAUGAAGAAUCGUCGGGUGCUUCAAGCCCUCCCCAUGCCUUGGUCCGUUUUCUCUUACUGUAAAUGUGUCAUCAGCGAUCGAAAAGCCCUGUGAAUUUGGCCAGUCACAGUCACAACUAUGACAAGAAUUCAGCUAGAGGAAGUGGUGGUUGUGUGAAGAACAUGUUGUGACUUUCCCAUCUCCUUGUAAUUGUAUGUCGUUUUUGGUCCCCACAGCUUACUUCCUGUGUGAGACUUCAUUUCGAGAUCUGUAAUGCGUGAAGAAGUAGUGAUUGCUUUAAAUUCCCAUCAGUGAUAACAAUGAAACAGCCUAAUAUGAAGCAACAAGAAAAAAAUGUGCCUCUACUCCAAUAUCUCCAGACAGUUUAGGGAGAAACGUGGAAAGGAUCCAAGUGGAUUGAUUUUUUUAUUGGAGAGGUGGAGACAUCAUUAAGAUAUUUCAAGAAAAGAGACCAAAUGGAUAUGUGAGCUGGAUACUUUUCAACCAGGGGGAUUGAAUAUUGAUAUUGAUCUAAACUGUUUUUGACACAUUUUUGACACAAUUUAAAAUAUUUUUUUAUUAUAUGUAUAUCUUUUUUUAAUAUUAAGAGAGCUGUAUAGAUAUGUGAGAGUCAUAUUUAGGUUGAGGUCUGCUUUAAUUAAGACGUCUCCUUAAGAGAUUGAGAUUACUGACGAAAUAUGAAUAGUUUAGGAGUUAAAUACUAUGCCUGGUUCUUACCUGUAGCUAUUUGCAUUUUAUAAAUGUGGCAUUAAGAUUAAUGCUUCCCAUGUAAAUACAGUUUAAAUUUUAGACGAAUAUUUGAUGGAUUUUUUUUAUGUUGCACAAAUCAUUAGUGUGGUUGAUUAUUUUAGAGUAGAAGGUAGAGCUACGUUUUUAAUAUGUGUUAAGUCUCUCUAAAAGAUCAUGAAAUUUAAAAAA